CCGGGAAAACAAGCCCAGAAGGCGGCGGACACUCGCAUAAAGUCACGCAGUAGUACUCGGAGCCCGGGGUAGAACCUGGACUUCAAAUCUCUGCACUCCCGGCCGGGUGGUGGGCGCAUAUCCUGGGUAGCCUCUAGGAAGCGCUAGACACAUGCUAUGUGGGGCUCUGGCUCCUUUCUGUCUGCCUGGCUGCUAUACUGCUAUUUGUCUGAUCCUUAUGUUGUUCAACAAUCCUUCUACAAGGAUCUUCUGAUAAGAUAGGCUCAACCAACCUCGUUAGCCAGACUGGUCUGCCCAGCUCCUGUCUUCACAGUGGCUCCUCACUUCCCCAUUCCUCUCUGCCCCUGCCUUCUAUGUGGUAAUUCCCUUUUUAAAACAAUAAUUAAAAAUGAAAAAGAGAGUGGUG
rnacentral:lncRNA from 1 species